UCGGUAUAGCGACAAGAAGUUGCCAUGCAUAAUCGUAAAGGAUGAAUACUGAGCUCUGUCACCUUUGAGUGAACGUUUGAGGGAAAGCUGAGAAACGUUAGAAAACAGGAGUCGAAUGAGAAAGGGAGCUAUAACACGAGAAAGGGAGCUAUAACUAGCUGGAUCAAGUGUGGUGGGGCAGUCUCCGCUACCACUGAAUUUGAAAUUUAGCUGAAGCAAAAUAAUGUUCGAUUCGUAUGGAAAAUAAAAUUUAGAUCCUCAUCACCCAUGACACGGGUCAGCUCGAUAGGUACAGACGAUGAGCUAUUGCCUGAUCCUGUUGCAGAUUUAAAACUAGCCCAUUUGAGUGGUCAAACUUUUAAGUACAAUAUGAAGUCGCUAUGGGACACGACCUGGAAGUUUGUCCGGAGGGAUUUCGAAUUGAAGUCUUUCGAGGAAAGUUGUGUUUCGCACAAUUUUUUUAAACCCCUCAUAUCCCACUAGUCUAGUUUUUACCAUUAACUAUGCCGACUAGGAAUUGAUGGUACUUAACUAUAUGACUUCAUCAAGCACCUGAUGAGAAAUCAAAGGUGUUGGUUUCCGAGGGGAGUAUGGUCGCAAGGCUGAAACUUAGUUGACGGAAAGGUACCACCAGGAGUGGGGCCUGUGGUUUAAUGCGAUUCAACACGGGAAAACUCACCAGGUCUGGACAUAGUGAGGAUUGUCAGAUUGAGAGCUCGUUCUUUAUACUAUGGGUGGUGGUGCAUGGCCGUUCUAGGUUGGUGGAGUGAUUUGUCUGGUUAAUUCCGUUAACGAACGAGACCUUAACCUGCUAAAUAGUAUCGUGAAUUCCAAUUUACGGCAUACUUCAUUGAGGGACUACCGGCUUAACCCAUGGGGAUUUUGAGGCAAUAUCAGGUCUGCGAUGCCCUUAGAUGUUCUGGGUCGCACGCGCGCUACACUGAUGAAGUCAACGAGUCUUUUCCUACACCGGUAGGUGUAUGUAAUUUUUGGAAACUUUAUCGUGCUGGGGAUAGAUGAUUGCAAAUAUUCACCUUCAACGAGAUAUUCCUAGUAAGCGCAUGUCACCAGCAUGUGUUGAUUACGUUCCUGCCCUUUGUACACACCGCUCGUCGCUAGUACCGAAUGGCUUAGUGAGGCCUCAGGAGGGAUUCUUUGCUGGUGGCCACACCGACAUUGAUUCCCGAAUUAGGAAAAAAUUAGUCCUUUAGAGGAGGUGUAUGUCGUAAAAAAGGUUUCCGUAGGUGAACCUGAGGAAG
rnacentral:rRNA from 1 species